UCCCUCCCCCCUGCCUGUUCAAGAAAUGGCAGGAAACAGUAAACACUAAUCCAGAAUCUUUUAUAUAUUUCUAGUUAAACUAGUAUUGACUUUCAGGUAUUGUCUGUAUGUUAGGUGGGUGUGGGGAAAGUCUUGUAACUUUUAUCGAAAUUGUAUUAAACUUCUGUUUCCUAAAUUCAGUAUUUUCUUAAAGAAUUGCUUGGUUUUUCCAAUCAGUAUGUAAGCUUUUGCCAAAUGUUAAGCGGGCUGCUGGCAGUGAGGAGGAAAGCAGCAGUUCAGAGGAGCCCUCCACUAAUGAACAGACCACCCAUGUCUGUAAAAGUCCCCUGUGGGAGCUGGCUCAUGCCAGGUGCGUACCCUGUCACAACAGUGAACUUAGCUGUUUUCUCUCCUGAUGGACAAUGCCAAGCCUGGAUAGAAACCCCGUGCGCAAAUGUACAAUGAGAAGGUGGAGGACUGCUGGAAAAGGAGGAGCAACAGUUCUGCCUUGAGGCCUGCAGCUGGAUAUCCCUCGGUGGAGGAUGUAACGCGCAGCACGCGAGUUGCCACAGAUUUCGCCCUUGUGCUGCGUCAGGCUCAGUGGGUAACUUACCCCCAGAACCAUUGCAUCUGUGUCACCCGCACUGACAGCGUUUCUUCCGGGACUGUAAGUAGCUUCCAGAGUUACGGCACAAGUGAUUAGAGGUGCACCUCCCUUCUCCCCCUUCUCAUUUUAAGAUCAGCGUGUUGCUCCCAGCUAGUCCAAGAACAAGCAUUGGAGGGUGUUCCUGAACUUAGCUGGAAGUGCCUGGGGCUCUCGCCCAAGGCUGUGGCACCAUCCUGUCCUGGAACCAAUAUUUUAUUCGUGAAGUCUAAUGAGCAUUGGUGGGAAUUUUGUUUGGUUUUUAUAAGAAGUAUUUUACAUAUGGAUUUUUUUAGACUGUUUAUAAUCUCCUUGAAAACCUGAAAUAAUAGAAUUGUUCCCCCAGCAAUAGUUCUUCUCCACUGUGUGCACAUGCUGAUUUGUUACUAAAAGGUUUCUUGCAAGUACUUAGUUGUUCUACAGAGUUGUUGUUUUUUGGGGUAUGUGGUAGCAUUGGGGACCACAUGAGGAAUGACUCUGCAAACAAAGAAUGGUCAAAUUUGGGCCUCAUCUUGUGUCCCCUUCUAGUUACAUAUGAAAGAGUUCCCUGUGUAGAUUCUCUAUAGGCUGGCUGAAUGCUGUUCUGAACAUGCCAUGUACAGGUAUUUGUGGAUAAAGUGUUUGUUCUUGUGUCACUCUUGAGAGCAUGGAUGGAUUAUUGUAAAAUAGGAAGGAGGUGGCAGUGCUGCUGUUAGCAUUGCUUCAGGUCUUCGAGGAUGUGUAGUAACUUGCAUUGUUUAAAAAAAAAAAAGGAAAAAAAAAAUCCAAAAUUGACUUCUAGCCAUAAUGGUUUUUCCAAGGAAAAUGGACAGAACUCUGUUACUUUUCAGUGUCCUUCAUCUUGUUACUGAAGGCAUGAACAAGUGAUGAUCAAUCUGAAGGCUUUCAGAGUUGCUUUGAAUUGAAUCAUGUGGAGGUAAGAUUAGGACACAGCUUUUCCUUUGUCCUUGGCCUUUGUAUUAAAGGGCAAAAGAGGGUCAGGAGUACUUUCCUGUUGUCUUGGUCUGAUACGUAUUAAGCCUUGAGGCUUUGAUUACUGACAUUUGCUAUUAAAAAGGAUAGAAAGGCUGGCUGGAUCCCAAAAUGCCAGCCCAAAGAAUAUUGGACACAUUGGUAAUGAGACUGGCUCUGUUGUGGUCAGACUGAAUAUAUGGAAGUGCAAUGAUUUAGCCACCGGUUCUUAUACUGUUGUGUGCGGUGGCAGCAUCAGAACUAGCAAAGAAAUUGAUGCACCAAUCCAGGAACAGUUGUUGUCAGAUCUGGAAUGUAUUUGAUGGUAAGACAUUAAAAUUCCCUUGUGGAGCUUGCCCCAUCAUGUUCUCUGCGAGCAGAGACCUAAGUCACUAUGGUUCAGCAAAUUUCAACUGUAAUGUUCUCUAAUGCACUAUAGCACAGUUGGUGUACUCAAAAGAAGCUUCUCUUAUUAAUUCAGGUGCCUGGCACUCACUAGUUGGCACGCUUCUGUCAAGGCUAUAGACAACCAUUGUGCACCUUGUACAAGUAUUACUUUUAAAAAGAUGAAAAAUCAAUUGGUAUUUUCAUGGGGGCAUGAAAUAGCCAUCAAAAACUAAAGAGAUGAGUUUGCACUCCUAAAGAAAAUGUAAGUACUUCAACGUCUAGAUAAUUUUUAAUUGUAUUUCCGCCUAGAGCCAAGGUAUUAAAUACCUUGUCACUUGAGGAUUUUAACAGUUGUGUUGGGAAAUGAGUUCUUCACCCAGCUGUAAGAAAUUCAGCUGGCCCAAGACUAACUUCAAGAUUAAAAAAAAUAAAAAAUCAUGUUUGUAAUACA
rnacentral:lncRNA from 1 species